rnacentral:tRNA from 3 species
GGGCCCGUAGCUCAGUUGGUUAGAGCGCACGGCUGAUAACCGUGAGGUCGUUGGUUCGAAUCCAACCGGGCCCACCA